rnacentral:rRNA from 1 species
GGGCCCGCACAAGCGGUGGAGCAUGUGGUUUAAUUCGAUGCAACGCGAAGAACCUUACCUACACUUGACAUCCAGAGAACUUUCUAGAGAUAGAUUGGUGCCUUCGGGAACUCUGAGACAGGUGCUGCAUGGCUGUCGUCAGCUCGUGUCGUGAGAUGUUGGGUUAAGUCCCGCAACGAGCGCAACCCUUUUCCUUAUUUGCCAGCACUUUGGGUGGGAACUUUAAGGAUACUGCCAGUGACAAACUGGAGGAAGGCGGGGACGACGUCAAGUCAUCAUGGCCCUUACGACCAGGGCUACACACGUGCUACAAUGGUUGGUACAAAGGGUUGCUACACAGCGAUGUGCUGCUAAUCUCAAAAAGCCAAUCGUAGUCCGGAUUGGAGUCUGCAACUCGACUCCAUGAAGUCGGAAUCGCUAGUAAUCG